UAAGUUUGACCUGUAUAUGAAAUAACCUGAUUGCAAUUAUCAUUUUUUUGGAUGAGCAUCAAGUUAAAGGUGUUUGAACCUCUUCUACAGGUGAAAGAUGUUCUAUUUGAACCUGUUCGCAAGACUCAAGAUGCCAUGUUUUUCUUUAAGAAUCAUGAGGGUAUGUGGAUCCCAUGUGGACCUAAGCAACAGAGUGCAGUUCAAAUUACAAUGCAGGACCUUGCUGCAAAAGGACUUGCUUCUAAGGUGAUCAAUAUGUGCUUACUUUGUUGACAUAGGAUUGUAGGGCUUCUUUUUUAAAUGAUAAUUGGAGAAGCAGUGUUUUUAUGUUCUUGUUUGCUGUGCAGAUCCUUCCACCACCGAUAUCCAGAACAGAUUUUGACAAGGUGCUUGCCAGACAAAGGCCCACAGUAAGCAAAAGUGACCUUGAUGUUCAUGAGAGAUUCACAAAGGAGUUUGGAGAGGAAGGUUAAUUCUGAUGGGAUUUUCACUUCAAAGAUCCCAUGCUGGUUUAAACAUAUUCUUAUGAUUUGUAAUUUACUUAGCUAUUGGAGCAGGUGAAAUGCAUUUCUUUUUAGUUCUGGGGGAUGUGAAUUCUCCUGUAACAAAAGUGGAUUUAUAAAAGUAAAUACUUAUUUUGCUUCUCCUAAAUUGUGUAUAAAACAGAAUCCAGUGAUCAGAAAAAAUAACUUGUAUGUGAUGAUUGCUUAUGUUGGAUUGUUGCUCUUUCCUUUUGAAUAUAAAUUUCACAAGAUGGGUAAGAAUUUCAGCAAGUAUGCUUGCCUAAAGACAAAAUAGUUUCAUGUACUAAUUAAUAUUGAUGUUGUCACAAAAGCUGUUUUGAAUCGGCAUGACAUUGAUUUAGUGGUAUAAGAUCCCAUUGAAUCCUCAAGUAGAUGAAAAUGUUAAACAUUCGAUUCCUGAGAGCAAUAUUUGUUGGGAAGAACUGAUACACUUUGAACGAGAUUAGUUCAUUGCCUAUAGAGUGAAGGGAUAUCCUUGUUUAUAUAAAAAUAUGUUCUUAAGAGACUCUUUAAGGAAAUUAGGUAUGGGGAAAAAAUGAAAUAAAUUCUCAGAUGCUACCUUAUUUUCUUUCUUAAAACAAAGAUUAUGAAAGAUAAAAAUGUUAAAAUCAAACUCUUGUAUGAUUCUUAAAAGUCAACAUGAUACAUAAUAAAAAGGAACAAGUUUGAGAAAUUAGUUUGGCUUUUAUCAAAAUUUUAAUGUGGGUUUAGAAAAUAUGUUGGAAAGUUGAUAUGAGCCUAAUCAACUUUCCAACCGACCCAAAACAAAGUGAAGUUUGAUAAAUAUGGAAGGAGGAGUGGAAAUGUGUAAUUAUAUUUUAUUUCGAAAAAAAACCUAAAAUUAAAGAAUUAACCGGACAUGAUGAUUUAUUUAUAUUAGAGAAUAAUGUAUCUCUUAUACUAGGAGAUAAAUAUCUCCUCCAGUUAGUAGAAGUAUGAUAUGUGGAUUGAUUUGUUUAGUUUUAGAAAUAUUCUUGUAAAAUAUAAUUAAAUAUGAUACAUGUCAUGAUUUUAUUGGUCGAAGAAUAUAAUUUAUCUUAUGCCAAAAAUACUCUUCUAUUAUCUAUUUUAAUUUUAAAAAACUUCUACUUUUUUUUCCUAACCAUUAUCUUAAUAUGUAGUCCUCUUUUUUGUUGUUGUUAUUGUUUCUGUAACAAUUUUUCUUCUUAAUAUUCUCCUUUUUCACCAUAAGCAUAUUUGCACAAGCAAUGUUAGGGAACCAUGCAUGAAAAGCCGAAGUCACAACUCACAAGUAAGUAACAUCAUUCACAAUUACAUAAAUAUCCUUUAUUAUUUUAUUUUCCAGUCUAUGAUCAGAUUUAUUUUCAGUUUUCACUUCUCUGUCUGUUUUAUCUGUCCAUCAAAAAACCCGAAAAUUUAUUUGCUUCCUUAACUCUGAACAUUAAGUACUAUUGUCUGCUGAGUAGAACUAGUAACUACUGUUUCUCAUUCUCUUCACCCCAUUUUAUUUUUGUUUCUUUAUUUUCUCUAUACCUUUCUAAAUUUCUUCCUUUUUCAGUCAUUGCCAUUAUAGCUUCUUUUGAUGUUUUAUAGUUAAAAGAGGAGAUUAACUCGCAUCUUCUCCAACUCCCCUAAUUAUGUUGUAGGGUUCUGUUCAUUUGCCCCAAAAAUUGGUGCUUUAUCUUUUUCAUUUUUAUUUUUUUUUCAGAAAGUUUAUAAAAUUAGGGUUUUUUAUUUUCCGUCAAAGAUAAUUACUAGAAUUUACGUGUCAAUUUCAUGGAAUUUUACUGAAUCUGGUAAAGGGGUUUUUCAGAAGCAGCAAUUUUUGUAGGAUUCUGUAGGUUUUGAAUAGAGUGUGUUUGAAGUUCUCAGCUCCCUCCAUUCCCCAGUUGGGAGAAGGAAAAAGAAGCUGUUUUGAUAGUAAAAGUAGAGAUUUUUGGAAGAUGAUUGCUGAAAAACCUAGCUGGGUUAGACAUGAAGGAAUGCAAAUAUUCUCUAUUGAUGUUCAACCUGGUGCACUUCGGUUCGUUACUGGUGGUGGUGACCACAAGGUAUGGCCUAGAGUCUCAAUUUACUGAUAUGAGUUUUAACUUUUGGUUCUGUCAUUAUUUGUUGUCUAAGGAUAUGGAACACUAUUAUAUCCAUUACCUAGUGUAAUUUAUCUUUGUCAAUUUUAUGGAUAAAUUGAAUACUUUAUUACCAAUUUGAUUGAUAUUGUUGCUGUAUUCAUUGGGAAAGAGUGAUGCAAUGUCAUUAGGUUUCUAUUUUUCUUGUAAUAAGCACUCAUUAAUCUCUUGUAAGUUCUUCGUACCCCAGGUACUUAAUUAAUAAAACCAUUUUUGCCGACAAAAAAACAUUGCAUGAGACUGAGACUUAGAGAGCUGUAUCAUUGUUAAUUGAUUUUGAUUUCAAAGAUUCCCUGUGUCAUUCAUGCAGGUUCGCAUAUGGAAUAUGAAGUCUGUUUCUAGGGACAUGGAAAAUGACGAGUCGUCGCAGAGGCUUCUUGCAACCCUGCGCGAUCAUUUCGGGUCGGUUAACUGUGUUAGGUGGGCCAAGCAUGGAAGGUAUGUCGCGUCAGGGUCUGAUAAUCAGGUGAUAUUGGUUCAUGAGAGGAAGCCUGGUUCAGGAACCACAGAAUUUGGCAGCGGAGAGCCACCGGAUAUUGAAAACUGGAAAGUUGUAAUGACUUUGAGAGGGCACACUGCAGAUGUGGUAAUUACUUUUUCUGUCUAGGUGUCUUGUUUAUUUUUGAGAAAGUCUUUCAAGUUUCAGCCCAUCAGCUCACAUUUGUUCUUCGGAAGUAAACGAGCUUGAUGUGUUGUCAAAAUGGUUCUGUAUUGUUACUUAUUAUCAACCUGCUUAACCAUGUGCUUAUACUUUUUUUUAAUGAGCAUCAUUAACUUGGGACCAUUUGUCCAUGCUUAAAGUAGGUGGAUCUUAAUUGGUCUCCCGAUGAUUCCACAUUGGCAAGUGCGAGUUUGGAUAAUACCAUCCAUAUAUGGAAUAUGAGCAAUGGCAUUUGUAUUGCUGUUCUAAGGGGGCACUCUAGCUUGGUUAAGGGGGUUACUUGGGAUCCUAUUGGCUCCUUUAUAGCUAGUCAGUCUGAUGAUAAAACUGUCAUUAUUUGGCGAACAAGUGAUUGGAGUCUUGUUCAUAGGACAGAUGGUCACUGGGAAAAAUCAGUAAGUUUUUUAUUUUCAAAUUUAUUCAGACCCAAAAUAAAUUCUGUUUCCUAAUUGAACUGUGUCCAUUUCAGCUUGGCUCAACCUUUUUCAGGCGACUUGGAUGGUCUCCCUGUGGUCAUUUUAUCACCACUACUCAUGGGUUCCAGAAGCCAAGGCAUUCUGCACCUGUGCUGGAGAGAGGGGAAUGGUCUGCAACAUUUGACUUCUUAGGACACAAUGCUCCUAUUAUUGUGGUUAAGUUCAACCAUUCAAUGUUUAGAAGGAAUUCUUCUAAUGCUCAGGACGUGAAAUCUGCACCUGUUGGGUGGGCCAAUGGUUCUUCCAAGACAGAAAGCAAAGAGCCACAGCCGUAUAAUGUUAUUGCUGUUGGAAGUCAAGAUCGAAAUAUAACAGUUUGGACUACUGCUAGUCCCCGUCCUCUUUUUGUGGCUAAGCAUUUCUUUACUCAAAGUGUUGUGGAUUUAUCCUGGUAUGCUUUUACGUAUGGCUGGUAUUAUAUAUGUAGUUUGAUUGAUUAUUCUAAGUUAGUUUGACUUUUUCAAUUCCUUGAAUGACUCUUAAUAGAGUAUUAUAAAUUUAGAAACCAGGCUAAGACUUGCAGCAGUUUAAUUUAGAUAACGACUCUUCACAGUAGAGUGCAAUGCCGCUGCACUGCACCGACCUCUAGCUGGGUCAGCAGAGACGGUUAGAUUGUAAGGUUGCAGUUACACAUCACAACUGGUAUAAAUACCAAGCCGCUCACAUACCUGUUAGUUUGACUUUUUCAUUUUAGGUUACACUCUAGUUUGAAUGUUGAUUCUAACUUAAUUUGUCCUUUUCAUUUCUUUGAAUUAUUAUUAUUAAUUUUUUCCCCUUUUGAAGCAGGAGCCCUGAUGGAUAUUCACUUUUUGCCUGUUCCUUGGAUGGUUCUGUGGCUACAUUUCAUUUUGAGGUGAAAGAACUUGGGCAGAGACUAAGUGACACUGAGCUAGAUGAGUUGAAGAAAAGUCGCUAUGGUGACGGGAGAGGUCGUCAAGCAAACUUAGCAGAGAGUGCAGCACAAUUAUUGCUUGAAGCAGCUUCUGCCAAGCGAAAAUCUAAUAAAAAAGGUUCUGUUGUUCAGCAAAACCAGAAAAUGGCAAAAGUUGUUAAUUUUCUUAAAUUUAUUAUUAUUCAUUUCCCCCCCCCCCCCCUAAAUCAGAAUGAUAGGGCUUCCAACAGUUUUGGCAUCAGUCAUUUUAUUUUAUCUAUUCUUAUUUCAAAUUAUAUUGUAGUUUUUCCAAUUUACAUCGUAGGGUGUAGGAAACAAUGAUCAGAAAGUUCUUGUUCUUGCAGCAACAAAUACACCUUAUGCUCUAGACCAGGUAAGAAAAAAUAAUUCUGUUUAAUGUGAUCUUAUAUUGUCUCAAUGAGAUUCUGUUUCAAAUUUCAAUUAGUCAAUUUGUAAUUUCAGGCAAUAAGGAGGCGUUUUGAUAAGCGUAUUUAUAUUCCACUACCAGAUGUGAAGGCUCGCCAACACAUGUUCAAGGCAAGGGCAAUAUGAGUGAUUAUGUUUUUGAAGGAUAUGUUUUAUUGGAUUUUGUAAACUGUGCAAAUGGUUUUACUAUGACCUUUCUGGCUUGAUAAAUUGAACAGGUGCAUCUAGGAGAUACUCCCCAUAACUUGACUGAAGGUGAUUUUGAACACCUAGCUCGCAAGACAGAGGGGUUUUCAGGUUCAGACGUAGCUGUCUGUGUAAGUUUGACCUGUAUAUGAAAUAACCUGAUUGCAAUUAUCAUUUUUUUGGAUGAGCAUCAAGUUAAAGGUGUUUGAACCUCUUCUACAGGUGAAAGAUGUUCUAUUUGAACCUGUUCGCAAGACUCAAGAUGCCAUGUUUUUCUUUAAGAAUCAUGAGGGUAUGUGGAUCCCAUGUGGACCUAAGCAACAGAGUGCAGUUCAAAUUACAAUGCAGGACCUUGCUGCAAAAGGACUUGCUUCUAAGGUGAUCAAUAUGUGCUUACUUUGUUGACAUAGGAUUGUAGGGCUUCUUUUUUAAAUGAUAAUUGGAGAAGCAGUGUUUUUAUGUUCUUGUUUGCUGUGCAGAUCCUUCCACCACCGAUAUCCAGAACAGAUUUUGACAAGGUGCUUGCCAGACAAAGGCCCACAGUAAGCAAAAGUGACCUUGAUGUUCAUGAGAGAUUCACAAAGGAGUUUGGAGAGGAAGGUUAAUUCUGAUGGGAUUUUCACUUCAAAGAUCCCAUGCUGGUUUAAACAUAUUCUUAUGAUUUGUAAUUUACUUAGCUAUUGGAGCAGGUGAAAUGCAUUUCUUUUUAGUUCUGGGGGAUGUGAAUUCUCCUGUAACAAAAGUGGAUUUAUAAAAGUAAAUACUUAUUUUGCUUCUCCUAAAUUGUGUAUAAAACAGAAUCCAGUGAUCAGAAAAAAUAACUUGUAUGUGAUGAUUGCUUAUGUUGGAUUGUUGCUCUUUCCUUUUGAAUAUAAAUUUCACAAGAUGGGU
rnacentral:lncRNA from 1 species